GGCACUCACUACUAGUGAGUUGUGUGGAAACAUGAAAAGGAAGAGUAGUAAUAACUAAUAAGUAAAGAUGGUGCAACAACAACAAGAAGAAGCCCUAUUGCAUGCACGCUUAGGCUUAUAUAAUAUUAGCAUAUAUAGCACAUUGAAUAAUUACCACUCCCUUCUUUCUUUCUAGUUUCUACAAAACAAGAGCCACUCUUUGUGUCAAAACCCAUCAUUGGAUUUUUGUGUGGGGAGGGGGAUCCAAAUACUUGUUAUAGUUAUGCCUUCAACACUUCUACCUUUACCAUUAUUAUUCAUCACAAAUAAACCCUAUCAUCUCCAAUCUUCUUCUUCUAAAGACUUUGGUGCCCUCUAGGGUUUGUCAGAGGCAUUGUUCCAUAGCCAUUUUGGCAUUCUGUCCACCUCCGAUCCGAUCCGAUUCGAUUCAUUAAUUUGUAGGAGGUGGCCAGUAGGCCAAACGGGUUCUGUGAAUAUGUAUUUGACAAACCCCAUCUUAGAGGGCAAGCUUUAAGGCCUUCAUCUUUCUUAUUUCUUCUCUUUGAAUAAGUCUUAGUGUUUUCUUCUCUAUCAUCUAACAUAUAUACAUGAGUUUUCAUGUAGCAUUUUUUGCAGAAAAUACUACUUGAUUUGAAGCUUGAAGAUCAGGGAAUAUAUGGUGAUUACUCCAAGCCCAAACCAAGAGAACCAGCAGGCCAAUAAGAAGAACAAUUUGCAACCAAGGCUGCUGAUAGGGACCAAGUUCAUAACCUAAUUCACUUGCUUCAUGAAGAGAAAAAGAAAAACAAUGUAAUGCAGGUGGAGUUUUGUGGUUUCGCGUAAGGCUCAGAGAAAAAAAAAAGAAUGGUUCACUUUUUCUAUCUAUCGUCAAAGAAGAAAAGGGAAAAGAAAAUCUUGGAGGUUAUGUCAAAUCAAAAUGGAGUCAAAAUCAAUAUGCUCAAGCAAGCAAAAUCAGAAGAAAUAGGUAAAAGAUUCCUAUUAACAUGCAAGUCAAUUGCUUGUUGAUUUCACCUUCCUUCUGCACAAGUAUUUCGGGUAAUAAGAAGACAGUAGAGACUAUUUUGUUCUGCUGUAAAUCAACGGUUGAUAUUAAAACUUGGAGCCAAAGCACUAGAUUAAGGUUUGGAUUUGGCAAACUCAUUAAGGAAUCCAAAUCAAUGAAGCUACUACUACUUAUCUCUCUUCUGCAUUGCUUAACUCUGAUCUCAAUCUCUGGUUUUAUAGUCUGAUUGAUGAAAAGAAAGGGAAGACUUCAGCUGAUUCAAGAUCCAAUGAGUUGACUUAGUUCAGCAAACCCUAACCUUGGAAACUGUACUCCAUACAAAAAGGAAAAAUCAAUUUUAGUUUUGGGUAAGGAGAGUGGACCAAAAUCUGAGUUUCAUUGAGAACUUUUCUACUAUUUUUGCUCAACGUUUUGGACAGUAUUUUUAAAUAAAAAGAAUAUUUUGCCAAGAUGGAGAGCUACAUAUGAGAGAGAUAAAUCCGGUCAAUCAUAUAGCUUCAAAGCUGUUCUACAUCA